GGGUGCUGCAGCAGUGGCUUCUUGGAGGCCCUGUGAUAUGGCCCCCAGGGGGCAAGCCCUGGAGCAUGCAGGAUUUCUGCCAAGCUCCCCUACGUUAUUCCUGGUGCAAAGCUGCCCUAAAAGGGGCCUGAGCACAUGCAAGGAAGUUAGUGUGGUCAUGUCCAAGUUAUUACUGGAAGAUGCUGUCACUGGGAGUGGGGGCCCUUAAGCGUUCUGCUGAGAAGCUCACAGGCAGCUGAUGGCAGGGCAGGAGGCAGCUACAGUGCAGAAGAGGAGCUGUGGCAGAGGGCAUCCCUUCCCUCCUGGCCGCCGCCAGGUGCGGGUCCCGGUCGCCUCCGCCGCUGCUGCCGCCGCCCCGGGGGGCCGCUGGCUCCGGCGGCGGAGCUCGGCCCGCGCCGCCCCGCCGCGCAUCCCCUCACACACCCCCGGUACCGCCGGGCAGCCCCAGCGGG